rnacentral:rRNA from 1 species
UGAGGAAUUUUGCGCAAUGGGGGAAACCCUGACGCAGCAACGCCGCGUGGGCGAUGAAGGCCUUCGGGUCGUAAAGCCCUGUCGGGCGGGAAGAACGCUCUUGGUCGAAGGACUGGGGGGUGACGGUACCGCCAGAGGAAGCACCGGCUAACUCCGUGCCAGCAGCGGCGGUAAUACGGAGGGUGCAAGCGUUAUUCGGAAUUACUGGGCGUAAAGGGCGUGCAGGCGGGAGAGCAAGGCUGAUGUGAAAGCCCGGGGCGUAACCCCGGAAGGGCAUUGGAAACUGC